rnacentral:rRNA from 1 species
AGUGAACGCUGGCGGUAGGCCUAACACAUGCAAGUCGAACGGCAGCACAGUAAGAGCUUGCUCUUACGGGUGGCGAGUGGCGGACGGGUGAGGAAUACAUCGGAAUCUACUUUUUCGUGGGGGAUAACGUAGGGAAACUUACGCUCAUACCGCAUACGACCUACGGGUGAAAGCAGGGGAUCUUCGGACCUUGCGCGAUUGAAUGAGCCGAUGUCGGAUUAGCUAGUUGGCGGGGUAAAGGCCCACCAAGGCGACGAUCCGUAGCUGGUCUGAGAGGAUGAUCAGCCACACAGGAGCUGAGAGACGGUCCAGACUCCUACGGGAGGCAGCAGUGGGGAAUAUUGGACAAUGGGCGCAAGCCUGAUCCAGCCAUACCGCGUGGGUGAAGAAGGCCUUCGGGUUGGAAAGCGCUUUUGUUGGGAAAGAAAAGCAGCAGGUUAAUACCCCGCUGUUCUGACGGAACCCAAAGAAUAAGCACCGGCUAACUUCGU